rnacentral:rRNA from 1 species
UACGGAGGGUGCAAGCGUUAUCCGGAUUCACUGGGUUUAAAGGGUACGUAGGCGGGCAGGUAAGUCAGUGGUGAAAUCUCCGAGCUUAACUUGGAAACUGCCAUUGAUACUAUCUGUCUUGAAUAUUGUGGAGGUGAGCGGAAUAUGUCAUGUAGCGGUGAAAUGCUUAGAUAUGACAUAGAACACCAAUUGCGAAGGCAGCUCGCUACACAUAUAUUGACGCUGAGGCACGAAAGCGUGGGGAUCAAACAGG